ACUAAACACUAUUUCAAAAUUUGUAAAAUAGUGGAAUUCGAUAUUGUAAAAAAAGGCGAGCGAUUUUGUUUUUUUAAAUUCUGUGUUUAAUUUGCAUAAAGCUUAUCGAUAAUACUAUUAAAGACUAAUGCCAGAAGUAAAAUUUUCUAUAUUCGCCUGAAUUUUACAAAAGCCACAUGGAAACCGGAUAUCGAAGUCACGGGGUGGAUCAUUCUGCUAUUGUAUAAAAAUUAAAAUACGAUUAUCGUAACAUACAAAUUGUAUAGUACCAUAUCGGAUCUAGUUUUCGGACAGUCCGUUCCCAAGGGGACAAAAAAAAAUAAUAAAAGUGGACAUUAGGUCCCCAAAAACGGGGGUUUUGAAAAUAAACCUCCACCCUAACUACAAGGCUUUUUAUAAAAGAAGAAUCCUAGUCUACAGGAAUGUAUGUAUAUUGCUUUAAUCUCCAUCAAAAAAAAAAAGCAACGUUUUUUAAAAAAGCAUGACGUGUUAAAGGGGAUAAUACUCCCCACAUUAGCAUUAAGCUCAAAGAUGACCAAUUAUUUUAACUUGUUCUAAUUUAUUAAUUGAUCCUCCGGGUAAGACAUUAUCCUACCGGAAAGAAUAAGAAUUGGUUAAAAAAUUAGGAUUUUUAAAAUGUGCGGAUCUCAGAUGUAUGAAGAGAAUGAAGUGGCCCUCUCCUACUCUCCUCGACACGAACUUCUCCUCACUGACAUUUUUCAAGACUCCAGUUUGACCAUGUUUGGGGAUCCAACGGGGUGAUGACUUAUCUGAUGACUUACUAUACCUCCCUUAGCAGAAUAGGUUUUAAAUGAAGAAGUGUUACUACAGCCACCUAAAUUCUGUGUUACAAAAAUCAAAUAAAAAAUAAUCUUUUGGCCAA